GAUAGCUCAGUUGCUAAAGCAUGGGACUCUUAAUCUUAGGGUCGUGGGCUUGAGCCCCAUGUAGAACA